rnacentral:rRNA from 1 species
UACGGGGGGGGCAAGCGUUGUUCGGAAGUACUGGGCGUAAAGGGCUCGUAGGCGGCCAACUAAGUCGGAUGUGAAAUCCCCAGGCUCAACUUGGGAACUGCAUCCGAUACUGGAUGGCUUGAAUUCGGGAGAGGGAUGCAGAAUUCCAGGUGUAGCGGUGAAAUGCGUAGAUAUCUGGAGGAAUACCGGUGGCGAAGGCGGCAUCCUGGACCGACAUUGACGCUGAGGAGCGAAAGCUAGGGGAGCAAACGGG